UUGUUCAUUAUAGAUGAUCGCCCCGAUAACCAUUGGGGAGGAAAGUCCGAACUCCAUCAAAAAUGGUAAUGGGUAACGCCCACCCCCCGAUGAACAUCGGGACGGGACAGUGCCACAGAGACUAUACUAUCCCGAUGACCAUCGGGAGAAACGUGAAAAGUAAAUGGAUGUUUUUGUUCUAUAGACAAAAGCUACUGUUUUCGCCUCUUGGUGACAAGAGUGUGUGGUAAACCCUACCUGGAGAAAGAGUAGCGUCUCCCGACUAAGUCGGGAUUCGAAAAGUUAGCUCGUUUGAGUCUAUUGGCAACAAUAGAUCUAGAGAAAUGAUCAUCACCCGCAAGGGACACAAAAUUCGGCUUAUUUAAUGGAUAAGACA
rnacentral:RNase_P_RNA from 1 species